rnacentral:rRNA from 1 species
CAGCCGCCGCGGUAAAACCAGCACCUCAAGUGGUCAGGAUGAUUAUUGGGCCUAAAGCAUCCGUAGCUCGUUUUGUAAGUUUUCGGUUAAAUCCAUGCGCUUAACGUAUGGGCUGCCGGGAAUACUGCAUAACUAGGAAGUGGGAGAGGUAGACGGUACUCGGUAGGAAGGGGUAAAAUCCUUUGAUCUAUUGAUGACCACCUGUGGCGAAGGCGGUCUACCAGAACACGUUCGACGGUGAGGGAUGAAAGCUGGGGGAGCAAACCGGAUUAGAUACCCGGGUAGUCCCAGCUGUAAACUAUGCAAACUCAGUGAUGCAUUGGCUUGUGGCCAAUGCAGUGCUGCAGGGAAGCCGUUAAGUUUGCCGCCUGGGAAGUACGUACGCAAGUAUGAAACUUAAAGGAAUUGGCGGGGGAGCACAA